rnacentral:rRNA from 1 species
AGCGUAGGCGGAUAGUUUAGUCAGAGGUGAAAGCCCAGGGCUCAACCUUGGAAUUGCCUUUGAUACUGGCUAUCUUGAGUAUGGAAGAGGUAUGUGGAACUCCGAGUGUAGAGGUGAAAUUCGUAGAUAUUCGGAAGAACACCAGUGGCGAAGGCGACAUACUGGUCCAUUACUGACGCUGAGGUGCGAAAGCGUGGGGAGCAAACA